GACGAACGCUGGCGGCGUGCUUAACACAUGCAAGUCGAACGGAAAGGCCCUGCUUUUGUGGGGUGCUCGAGUGGCGAACGGGUGAGUAACACGUGAGUAACCUGCCCUUGCCUUUGGGAUAACUUCAGGAAACUGGGGCUAAUACCGGAUAGGAGCUCCUGCUGCAUGUUGGGGGUUGGAAAGUUUCGGCGGUUGGGGAUGGACUCGCGGCUUAUCAGCUUGUUGGUGGGGUAGUGGCUUACCAAGGCUUUGACGGGUAGCCGGCCUGAGAGGGUGACCGGCCACAUUGGGACAGAGAUACGGCCCAGACUCCUACGGGAGGCAGCAGUGGGGAAUAUUGCACAAUGGGCGGAAGCCUGAUGCAGCAACGCCGCGUGCGGGAUGACGGCCUUCGGGUUGUAAACCGCUUUCGCCUGUGACGAAGCGUGAGUGACGGUAAUGGGUAAAGAAGCACCGGCUAACUACGUG
rnacentral:rRNA from 1 species